GAUGAACGCUGGCGGCGUGCCUAAUACAUGCAAGUCGAGCGGACAGACGAGGAGCUUGCUCCUCUUACGUUAGCGGCGGACGGGUGAGUAACACGUGGAUAACCUACCUAUAAGACUGGGAUAACUUCGGGAAACCGCAGCUAAUACCGGAUAAUAUCUUGAACCGCAUGGUUCCAUAGUGAAAAGCGGUUUUUCUGUCUCUUAUAGAUGGGUCCGCGCCUCAUUAGCUAGUUGGUAAGGUAACGGCUUACGAAGGCAACGAUGGGUAGCCGACCUGAGAGGGUGAUCGGCCACACGGGAACUGAGACACGGUCCAGACUCCUACGGGAGGCAGCAGUAGGGAAUCUUCCGGAAUGGGCGAAAGCGUGACGGAGCAACGCCGCGGGAGUGAUGAAGGUCUUCGGAUCGGAAAACUCUGUUAUUAGGGAAGAACAAAUGUGUAAGUAACUAUGAACGUAUUGACGGUACCUAAUAAGAAAGCCACGGCUAACUACGUG
rnacentral:rRNA from 1 species